CUUCUACUUGUCCACAAUUUGCCCCAGAAUCUUACUGGCUACAUCUGGUACAAAGGGCAAAUGAGGGACCUCUACCAUUACAUUACAUCAUAUGUAGUAGACGGUCAAAUAAUUAUAUAUGGGCCUGCAUAUAGUGGACGAGAAACAGUAUAUUCCAAUGCAUCCCUGCUGAUCCAGAAUGUCACCUGGGAGGACGCAGGAUCCUACACCUUACACAUCAUAAAGGGAGGUGAUGAGACUAGAGGAGUAACUGGACGUUUCACCUUCACCUUAUACCUGGAGACUCCCAAGCCCUCCAUCUCCAGCAGCAACUUAAAUCCCAGAGAGACCAUGGAGGCUGUGAGCUUAACCUGUGACCCUGAGACUCCAGACGCAAGCUACCUGUGGUGGAUGAAUGGUCAGAGCCUCCCUAUGACUCACAGCUUGAAGCUCUCCGAAACCAACAGGACCCUCUUUCUAUUGGGUGUCACAAAGUAUACUGCAGGACCCUAUGAAUGUGAAAUACAGAACCCAGUGAGUGCCAGCCGCAGUGACCCAGUCACCCUGAAUCUCCUCCAUGGUCCAGACCUCCCCAGAAUUUACCCUUCAUUCACCUAUUACCGUUCAGGAGAAAUCCUCUACUUGUCCUGUUCUGCAGACUCUAACCCACCGGCACAGUAUUCUUGGACAAUUAAUGAGAAGUUUCAUCUACCAGGACAAAAGCUCUUUAUCCGCCAUAUUACUACAAAGCAUAGCGGGCUCUAUGUUUGCUCUGUUCAUAACUCAGCCACUGGCAAGGAAAGCUCCAAAUACAUGACAGUCGAAGUCUCUGGUAAUUGGAUCCCAGCAUCCUUGGCAAUAGGGUUUUAGGUGGAGUCUAUCUGGCAUUCAGAGAAGAGUCAGGAAAACAUUUGUAUUCCCAGCCUGUGUCCCAUGGGCACAAGCAAAUCCCAAAUUCUCCUCCUGAACCCUCCAAAUUUGUC
rnacentral:sRNA from 1 species